AUAUUAUAUCGUACCGCCUCGUACGAAUCGAAUUGAAUCGAGUUGUUUCUUUCGACGCUAGAAGUCCCUGCCGAAUACGCACCCCGGCACGAGUCUCGGUGCCAACACAGACCCAUGCAAGACCAUCUACAAUCAACACUCAAAAUCCGCCCUACCUGAGAUUAGACCAAUGGAUGGCGUUCAUCACCCAACGUUGGCAGUCAUUCCGCCUCUCCCCAUCAAUGGAUAAUUACCAUACUUUUUUGUUGUUCAGUAUAUGAGUGUAAUUGGUUGGAUUUACUUAAAAUGAUUAGUAAUUGGUCUUAA